CGCCCCCACAUCCCUGCGCAGUCGCGUGUGCUAGGCCGAGGAAAAAACGGCCUGCGCUGAAGGAGAAACUGACAGGGCCGCCGCCCACGCUGAGGGAGGGACGACAGGAGCUUCUGGCAGCCGGACACAGGUCCACCCGCACUUCUCACGCCACCCCAGAGGAAGGCUAUUUUAUCUGACUACUUGCUGCUGACCUUGCUGCCUCUUCUUGUUUGUAUUGGUCCCUCAUGGAUUAACCCUUUAUGGACUUUGAGAACUCUACUCAGUGGGCUUCCUGGGUUACUUUUAUCAUCACUGUUCACCAAAGACCAGUUCAUCAUUGGCCUUGAAAAUUAUGCAGG